CUUCACCGAGCCCAGCCACAGAGGCCGGUCGCGGUCCUGCCCGUAGGUGGCGAUCAGCGCCUCGGCCUC
rnacentral:antisense_RNA from 1 species